UGGCCUUUGGGGGGUGCUAUACUGCAAGUCGAGCGAAUGGAUUAAGAGCUUGCUCUUAUGAAGUUAGCGGCGGACGGGUGAGUAACACGUGGGUAACCUGCCCAUAAGACUGGGAUAACUCCGGGAAACCGGGGCUAAUACCGGAUAACAUUUUGAACCGCAUGGUUCGAAAUUGAAAGGCGGCUUCGGCUGUCACUUAUGGAUGGACCCGCGUCGCAUUAGCUAGUUGGUGAGGUAACGGCUCACCAAGGCAACGAUGCGUAGCCGACCUGAGAGGGUGAUCGGCCACACUGGGACUGAGACACGGCCCAGACUCCUACGGGAGGCAGCAGUAGGGAAUCUUCCGCAAUGGACGAAAGUCUGACGGAGCAACGCCGCGUGAGUGAUGAAGGCUUUCGGGUCGUAAAACUCUGUUGUUAGGGAAGAACAAGUGCUAGUUGAAUAAGCUGGCACCUUGACGGUACCUAACCAGAAAGCCACGGCUAACUACGUGCCAGCAGCCGCGGUAAUACGUAGGUGGCAAGCGUUAUCCGGAAUUAUUGGGCGUAAAGCGCGCGCAGGUGGUUUCUUAAGUCUGAUGUGAAAGCCCACGGCUCAACCGUGGAGGGUCAUUGGAAACUGGGAGACUUGAGUGCAGAAGAGGAAAGUGGAAUUCCAUGUGUAGCGGUGAAAUGCGUAGAGAUAUGGAGGAACACCAGUGGCGAAGGCGACUUUCUGGUCUGUAACUGACACUGAGGCGCGAAAGCGUGGGGAGCAAACAGGAUUAGAUACCCUGGUAGUCCACGCCGUAAACGAUGAGUGCUAAGUGUUAGAGGGUUUCCGCCCUUUAGUGCUGAAGUUAACGCAUUAAGCACUCCGCCUGGGGAGUACGGCCGCAAGGCUGAAACUCAAAGGAAUUGACGGGGGCCCGCACAAGCGGUUGGAGCAUGUGGUUUUAAUUCGAAGCAACGCGAAGAACCUUACCAGGUCUUGACAUCCUCUGAAAACCCCUAGGAGAUAGGGGCUUCUUCCUUUCGGAAGCAGAGUGACACGCUGGCUGCAUGGUUUGUUCGUCAGCUCGUUGUCGGUGAGAAUUGUUGAGUUUAAGUCCUCCGCAACGAGCGCAAACCCUUGGAUCUUAGCUGCCCAUUCAUUAAAGUUGGGCACCUCUCUAAGCGUGAACUGCCGGUGAACAAUCCGAGAAGUGUGCUAGUACGCUCAAAAUCACUCAUACGCUCCCUUUAUGC
rnacentral:rRNA from 1 species